UGUAGGGCAAUCUGUCUUUAAGUAGGGAUAAAUUACUCUUGAACAAAAUGAUCCUAGAUAAUUUUCCCUUCAAGUCAAGCAUCUUG
rnacentral:pre_miRNA from 1 species